UUUUUUUUCUUUCUUAGAACAUAAAAACUGGUGCAUCCCACCACCGGAAGUAUCUGCAAGCCAGUAAAAGAGGGUGAAAAGCUUUAUGGAACUUUAUGUGUGGGACUCACAUGCUGGUUUCCUCCAUUACUAUGGACUGAAUGUUUCUGUCUUUCAAAAAUUCCUGGCCUGGCGCAGUGGCUCACACCUGUAAUCCCAGCACUUUGGGAGGCCGAGGCAGGUGGAUCACCUGAGGUCAGUUCAAGACCAGCCUGGCCAACACGGCAAGAGCCUGUCUCUACUAAAAAUACAAAAAUUAGCUGGAUGUGGUGGCGGGCACCUGUAAUCCCAGCUACUCGGAAAGCUGAGGCAGAAGAAUCGCUUGAAUCCGGAAGGUGGAGGUUGUGGUGAGCCGAGAUCGCACCACUGCACUCCAGCCUGGGCAACAAGAGUGAAACUCCGUCUCAAAAAUAAAAAAAAAUAAAAAAAUAAAAAAUAAAAAUAAAUAAAUAAAUAUAGAAAAUUCCUAUGCUGAAGCCCUAACCCCCAGUGUGAUGGAACUUGGAGGUAGGGCCUUUAGAAGGUUAUUAAUUAGGUCAUGAGGAUGGAGCCCUUGUGAGUGGGAUGAGUACCCUCUCAGUAGAGACGAGAGAGAUGGUCUCUUUGCCACGUGAAGACAGCAAGAACGCAUUCCCUCUGCCAACCAGGAAGAGGUCUUCACCAGCAGUCAGCUCGGCUGGCACCUGAAUCCUGGACUUCCCAGACUUCAGAACUGUAAGGAAUACAUCUCCAUUGUUUAAGCCACCCAGUCCAUGAUAUUUCUGUAAUAGGAGCCCAAACCACGACACCCACACAGAGAGCACCUACACACAGUGUGGUUACAGGCUGCAUCAUUUCUUUUUCUUUUGGCAUAUUUGCAUAUUGUCUAAAUUUUCUACAAUGACCCACCACAUGGAUUCUUUUAAAAGAAAAAAAUGGUAAAUAUGAAAUUGAAUAGUGGCGUUGACCCUUAACAGGAAAAAGACGGCAGAAGACACCAUGUUACUUACAGUAGACUACACAUGUGUGUGAAAUUUGUAAAUAAAAGAUGAAUACUUAUGUCACCACCUUCCUCUCUGAUGUUUCUGAAACCAGAGCAUAUAUGGUUAACCUUGCUCUAGCUCCAGUCCAUCCAUCCAUCCAUCAUCAGGCUAAAACAUAGAGCUGUAGGCAGUGGAGAAGAGCUGUAUGUGGUGAGGAAAGUGGGAGAGACGAAUUCCAGAAAUGUCUACUAAAGCAGUGCUUUAAGUUUUAAUUCCUUCAAGAAACCAAUACGUAUCGGAGCAUAAGUGAGAAAAAGAAAAUAACUGUAAAAAAUACAAAGGAGUCCAGGACAAUAGAAAUCUUUCUUCAUUCACAUAUUCUAGAGAGAAUAGUGAGAAGAAAUUCUCUCUCCAACGUGGACAGCCCCUCACAUCUUGAGCCUUCAUGGAAGUCUUAUCUAAGAAUAGAAUCUCUGCUACACUAACCUAGGAGAGGGCCAGGCAACUGCUGCCGUAUGCCCAUCACCCCAGUGUUCUGGAAGAAAAAGAUGGCAGGGAGAAGUUCUCUUUAGAACCAGCUCUUCCACACCAAAUGAACUCAGGAGACAAUGAAUGAAAACACCAUUCCACAGUGUGAGCGAUGCAAUGUGAAGCGCAAGCAGCAGAGUCUGCUGAAGAAGCUACUCCCCUGAAAUAGGAAAUAAGAAAACCAGUUGGCUCUGAAUCAAAUCCUGUUCCGGUCCUUUUUCUCUUUACCAUUUCCCCUUAAAACUCGGGCUUCCUGAACUGCACCAUAAUUCUAGGAUCUUCAAUUAAGGCAAAUGAGGAUAUACUAGAAAACACUGAUAUAUUAAAUAAACUAAAGAAUAAGACUUAAGUCCAAAAUCCUAUUUUGUGACACAACUCGCCCUUACACAGUAAACCCACCAAGCUCAUUCUCUCUAAUGCCCUGAUGAAGCUGUCAGCAACCCCUUCUACCUCUGAAGACAUCAGAGCAGAAGGGUGGGCUCCUCCAUCGCUGUCUUCAAUGUAAACAACAUUCUUAGGGAGAAUGCUUGCCUCUACCAUGGAAUCUGAGUACAUGCCAUAAGCACCUGCUCAAACCUGACUUUAAGACCCAUUCCAGAAAGAUAUUAUAAAUGCAAAGAUCAUAUGGAGAUCCUGCAGGUACUUCAACAAUUCAUCACCUACUUAGGACACAGGUAUGUGAUGUCUCAUGUUGAAAUGCUAGCAGAUGAUAAGACUCUCCCACCAUUUUCUCCCAUUAGUAUGAACAACUAUGAGUUAGAACCACCUUAUUGAGGGAACAGGACACUGGUCAGGCAUCUAACAUAAAGACACAUCACCACAUUUUAUGAACAAGUUUCUAGCUGUUAACAAUUAUCAUUAUAGGAUACUGUAGGUACCCAAACUGUAGUGAACAAGUGCUGUGAUUUAAUGUCUCUCUCUACUAUUGGCUCUCAGAUGGUUUGGCUAUAUGAGUUUUCCAUUCUAUAUUUGAUUUCAGAUUCUUACUAAAAUAAUUAAGCGGAGAAAGUGUUAAGAAGAAAAACUGUCUCUCAUUUAAUUUUAAUCCUCCCUCCUGGGCCUUCCCCAACUCUAUGCAACAAAGGCUGCAUCAGUUUUUUAAAAUAAUCCGUUUUUUAAAACAUCAAAACUCAAAUAUUCUUACAACCAAGGGGUCUCCAGGUUGAUGAAAAUGGGGAGAUUAUGAUUCCUGUAGCCAGAAGGACAGUUAAAUUCCCAGUCCUCUGAAUUUUCACAAAAUGACUAAUUUUAUUUGAAGCGUUCUAUAUUCCUAAAUAGACAAACUAUAUAAAACAAAUAACAUAUGUUCCAAAGCCCGAAUAUUUUUACAAUGAAGUAUCUGGGCCAUUUCAUUGGCAUGCUAAAAAAAAAAAAAAAAAAAAAAAAAAAACACCACCACCACCAAAAAAAACCUGACCUCAAGAUGAAAUUUUCAAUAAUAUUCAUAUUCACUACUAUCUAGUUAGCUAGUGGCCACAUUUUGGAUGAUUUUCAGUUACUUGUUAAUGAUUAAUAAAAGCAAUCAGUUCUCUAACCCACUCUGUGGCGAUUUCACAAUAAAACCAUUAACCUUUAAGAGUAAAUGCAAAUUAUAAAGCUUUAACAGGCAAUUUUACUCUCUUGGCAUCCAUCACAAGGGUGUUAUUUUAUAAAACAUUCUUUCCUCCAUGAAAUAAGAUAAAAUUAUUCACUUUUCUGUACAAAAUUAUAAUUUUCUCUAAAUGAAAUAUAAAAGCAGAAUAAGUAGCAAAACCCGAACUCAUAGACAUCAUUUGAAUCCUGUCAACUCCAAGGCACAGGCAGGGAGGAGGCAGUGACCAGGCCCCAGCAGUCACUGCCCCUGCACCAGUCACUAGAGGCAUGGGCUCUCGGGAAGGGAGAACCCCCAACAGCCUGGGGCACUCACUGAAAAGCACAGCAGACCCAUUUCUCACCAGCAGCUGCUACUAGGAGGGGUCUGGCCACUCCAAAGAGCCAGGGAGCACAACCCAAGGGACUAGACAAGCCUCCCCUCCAGGAACUGGAAAACAGAUGCUCCAGGGCUACCGCUCCAAGCCAAGGCCUCACACUGAGGAGAAAGCGCUGGCAGUGGAUUCAAAAAGGAGCAAAACAGGGACACGGACAAAGAAAAGGCAGGCAAAACUGGGAGAGGGGAAGCAGCAAAUCUGCACAAAAGCCACAGCCGAAGGAGCUCUAACAGGGCAGCGUAUACCUCUCUCAAGCCUC
ensembl:lncRNA